rnacentral:rRNA from 1 species
UACAUAAGGGGCGAGCGUUAUCCGGAAUUAUUGGGCGUAAAGGGUGCGUAGGCGGUUUAAUAAGUCUAUAGUUUAAUUUCAGUGCUUAACGCUGUUGUGCUAUAGAAACUGUUUUACUAGAGUGAGUUAGAGGCAAGCGGAAUUCCAUGUGUAGCGGUAAAAUGCGUAAAUAUAAGGAGGAACACCAGAGGCGUAGGCGGCUUGCUGGGACUUUACUGACGCUGAGGCACGAAAGCGUGGGGAGCAAACAGG